rnacentral:rRNA from 1 species
GGAAUAGGACGUGUGGUUCUAUUUUGUUGGUUUCUAGGACCGCCGUAAUGAUUAAUAGGGACAGUCGGGGGCAUCAGUAUUCAGUUGUCAGAGGUGAGAUUCUUGGAUUUAUUGAAGACUAACUACUGCGAAAGCAUUUGCCAAGGAUGUUUUCAUUAAUCAGGAACGAAAGUUUGGGGAUCGAAGACGAUCAGAUACCGUCGUAGUCUUAACCAUAAACUAUGCCGACUAGGGAUCGGACGAUGUUAUUUUUUGACGCGUUCGGCACCUUACGAGAAAUCAAAGUGCUUGGGCUCCAGGGGGAGUAUGGUCGCAAGGCUGAAACAUAAAGAAAUUGACGGAAGGGCACCACCAGGGGUGGAGCCUGCGGCUUAAUUUGACUCAACACGGGGAAACUCACCAGGUCCAGACACAAUGAGGAUUGACAGAUUGAGAGCUCUUUCUUGAUUUUGUGGGUGGUGGUGCAUGGCCGUUCUUAGUUGGUGGAGUGAUUUGUCUGCUUAAUUGCGAUAACGAACGAGACCUUAACCUGCUAAAUAGACCGUAUUGCUUUGGCAGUACGCCGUCUUCUUAGAGGGACUAUCGGCUCAAGCCGAUGGAAGUUUGAGGCAAUAACAGGUCUGUGAUGCCCUUAGAUGUUCUGGGCCGCACGCGCGCUACACUGACGGAGCCAGCGAGUACUCCCUUGGCCGGAAGGCCCGGGUAAUCUGUAUAGCU